AUUGAACGCUGGCGGAAUGCUUUACACAUGCAAGUCGAACGGCAGCACGGACUUCGGUCUGGUGGCGAGUGGCGAACGGGUGAGUAACAUAUCGGAACGUAUCCAAUAAUGGGGGAUAACUAAUCGAAAGGUUGGCUAAUACCGCAUACGCCCUACGGGGGAAAGCUAGGGACCUUCGGGCCUGGCGUUAAUGGAGCGGCCGAUAUCUGAUUAGCUAGUUGGUGAGGUAAAGGCUCACCAAGGCGACGAUCAGUAGCUGGUCUGAGAGGACGACCAGCCACACUGGAACUGAGACACGGUCCAGACUCCUACGGGAGGCAGCAGUGGGGAAUUUUGGACAAUGGGCGCAAGCCUGAUCCAGCCAUUCCGCGUGAGUGAAGAAGGCCUUCGGGUUGUAAAGCUCUUUCGCAAGGGAAGAAAACUUAGCCACUAACAUUGGCUGAGGUUGACGGUACCUUGAUAAGAAGCACCGGCUAACUACGUGCCAGCCGCCGCCGUAACAC
rnacentral:rRNA from 1 species